rnacentral:rRNA from 1 species
GUGGGGAAUCUUGCGCAAUGGGCGAAAGCCUGACGCAGCCAUGCCGCGUGAAUGAUGAAGGUCUUAGGAUUGUAAAAUUCUUUCACCGGGGACGAUAAUGACGGUACCCGGAGAAGAAGCUCCGGCUAACUUCGUGCCAGCAGCCGCGGUAAUACGAAGGGGGCUAGCGUUGCUCGGAAUUACUGGGCGUAAAGGGCGCGUAGGCGGACAGCUUAGUCAGAGGUGAAAGCCCAGGGCUCAACCUUGGAAUUGCCUUUGAUACUGGCUGUCUUGAGUUUGGGAGAGGUGAGUGGAACUCCGAGUGUAGAGGUGAAAUUCGUAGAUAUUCGGAAGAACACCAGUGGCGAAGGCGACCCACUGGCCCAAUACUGACGCUGAGGCGCGAAAGCGUGGGGAGCAAACAGGAUUAGAUACCCCAGUAGUCC